UAUAUCAUAUCAAUAUACACUAUUAUAAACUCACGUGAUAUGGAUCGGGUGCACACUAAUUAGUGUGCACCGGGUUCAUAUUAGUUUUUUUAUAUAAUCAAUUAGCCUCCAAUCAAUCUCAUUGAUUGAGAAAUCAAGCAAUCAAAGAUCCAUCUACCCUAAAUUACUCUUGAUAAUUACACUAUAAAAACCCACAACUCUCUCCCACCAGAUCACUUUGCUGAACUCUUCCUCUUGUGUGGACGGAGAUUUUGUAGAAGGAGCUUUCGAGGGGUGACUUUAUUAUUCAUAUUUGCGCUACUCGAGGUAAUUUGUAUGUCCAUCGUACUCUAAUUCCCAUUGUAAAACGAUUACCUAUGUAACUGUGUGAUUACGUGGUUAUGUAUGUGACAAAUAAUCUAUAGACUAAUGUUAUUAAUUUAUGAGUUAGUAAUUACUAUUAUAAGCAUAUGAUUCUCGUAUUACUAUAAUAGUUGAUUAUGUUAUUUUAUUGUUGCUAAUAAUAUAAAUCUUUUAUUAUCAUGUAA